CUACGGGGUGCUGCAGUGAGGAAUAUUGCACAAUGGGGGGAACCCUGAUGCAGCAACGCCGCGUGGAGGAUGACGCAUUUCGGUGUGCAAACUCCUUUUAUAUGUCAAGAAAAUGACGGUAGCAUAUGAAUAAGCGCCGGCUAACUCCGUGCCAGCAGCCGCGGUAAUACGGAGGGCGCAAGCGUUACUCGGAAUCACUGGGCGUAAAGGACGCGUAGGCGGGUUGAAAAGUCAGGUGUGAAAGCCUACAGCUUAACUGUAGAACUGCACUUGAAACUCUCAAUCUAGAGUAUGGGAGGGGCAGAUGGAAUUAGUGGUGUAGGGGUAAAAUCCGUAGAUAUCACUAGGAAUACCUAAAGCGAAGGCGAUCUGCUGGAACAUUACUGACGCUAAGGCGUGAAAGCGUGGGGAGCAAACAGGAUUAGAUACCCCAGUAGUC
rnacentral:rRNA from 1 species